rnacentral:rRNA from 1 species
CAAUAGCGUAUAUUAAAGUUGUUGCAGUUAAAAAGCUCGUAGUUGGAUUUGUGGCGUACGGUGUGUUCCGGGCACUUGUUGUCUGAGUAACCUGCUGUUGCCAUCCUUGGGUGGAACCUGUGUGGCAUUAGGUUGUCGUGCAGGGGAUGCCCAUCAUUUACUGUGAAAAAAUUAGAGUGUUCAAAGCAGGCUUAUGCCGUUGAAUAUAUUAGCAUGGAAUAAUGAGAUAGGACUUUUUUGCUAUUUUGUUGGUUUGCGCAAAGAGGUAAUGAUUAAUAGGGACAGUUGGGGGUAUUCGUAUUCCAUUGUCAGAGGUGAAAUUCUUGGAUUUUUGGAAGACGGACUACUGCGAAAGCAUUUGCCAAGGAUGUUUUCAUUGA